CCUGAGUGUCAUUGCACUUUUCAGGAGUUAAGGCAGAUGUGGAGGCACAACGUGUGAUACCAGACACACACCAAGCACAUUAUGUUCGGACAUUCAAUCAUGACAGGAUCCAGGUGGAUGCUGUCCAUUGAUGAAAGAGUUUGUUCAGCGGUUUCUGGAUAGAAUUAAUUCCAAAGAUGGGAAAAAGUGCACAUCCAGACAAGGAGCAAGCAAAAAGACAAGGAACUUGGUGCAGAGAAAAGCUGUGGCCAUUAACCCCCAUGUGAACAGCUUCAUGCAGUCCCUGAUUGAGUUCGAAUGGACGACUUCAAAGUAAAGGCCACUGUGGUCUGUCUGCCACAGUUUAAUUUUUAAUUUAUUUUUAGUGUUAAAUGAAAUUCAAGUAGAAUAUUUAAAACUAUGGGCCAGUGUUCUUUUUACCACAGUGAAAUGUUACCUUUUAGUCGAUGAUGGACAUUAAACUGAAAACUUCAAACUAUGGAACAGUGUUCUAUUUGCCAGAGUUAAAUAUGUUACAGCAGGGGUCUCCAAACUUGUUUAUACUUAUUGAUUUUAUUUUAUGUUACUUGAUUAUAUGUUUAUUAUUGUUUAAAAUCUUGUUUUAAAUAUGUUUGUUUCAAUUAAAUGUUUUUUUUUAAAUAAAAUUUUGAUACAUACAUUGCUUGGAUUGCCUUUUAAUUCAUUAUGUUUUAAUUUAGCAUUUUUACCAUAUUAAUAACUAUAGAUUUAAACCUAAAUCUCUAGCUAUUUUAUAUAAUAUUAUUGUAUUAACUGUAAUAAGUAAUAAAUAGUAUUUAUGGGUCAAUAUAGACAUUACAGUAAAUUACUGUAAAAAUAGACUACUGUAAUAAAAUAUUGUAAAAUUACAGUACAGUACUGCUUUGUAACUAUACAGUACUAGUUUGUGUACUGUAAAAUGGUAUUACAGUACAGUACUGUAAAACCAAAAUACAGUAACUUACUGGCAA